AGGGGCCAUGUUUUAGCUCCAGCAAGCAAAAGAACCGGGCAGCUUCAGCUUAGUGGUUCUGGCAGAGAUAUGAGAAAUCAGUUGUGGAGUCUCCUUUCAUGGCUAAGGAAAGCUGCUGAGGCCAGCUAAUAAUCAAGAUGAGCCAUUACUGUCAGCAUUCCUGAUCGUACAAAACUGUGGAGAAUGGUUAAUAAAGGAAAGAAAACUCUGGAUACCAGAGCAACAUAUGUGCAUCCAAACUAGAGCAAGAGGAAAUGAUUUGUGUAGCAGUCAAAGGAGGGAUCAGUGGAAGAUGAUGAAACAGACUAUAAAACAAAACAAAAUGGACCAUCUCCACCAGGAUAAAGAUGCAAUCAAGUGCUUUCUUUCAUCUGCCUGCUUUUCAGCCAGAGUGCCAGAGCAGCUGAACAUGCAGAGAACACAGAUCCUCAGACGUGGAGCUGGCUUCAUCAGCAAGCCUUCCUUCUGAGUAUACAGGGCCCAAGCUAAGGAAAGCUUCAUUGCCUCAAAGUUGUUAAUACUUUAGGAAAAAAGGAUGCGAAUUUUGCUUUUAUA
rnacentral:lncRNA from 1 species